AUUGAACGCUGGCGGCAGGCCUAACACAUGCAAGUCGAGCGGAGCGGCGGACGGGGGAGUAAGGCCUAGGAAGCUGCCUGGUAGUGGGGGAUAACGUCCGGAAACGGGCGCUAAUACAGCAUACUAUCAGAUGAGCCUAGGGCGGAUUAGCUAGUUGGUGGGGUAAAGGCCUACCAAGGCGACGAUCCGUAACUGGUCUGAGAGGAUGAUCAGUCACACUGGAACUUAGACACGGUCCAGACUCCUCCGGGAGGCAGCAGUGGGGAAUAUUGGGCAAUGGGCGCAAUCCUGAUCCAGCCAUGCCGCGUGUGUGAAGAAGGUCUUCGGAUUUUAAAGCACUUUAAGUUGGGAGGCGUUACCAACAGAAUAAGCACCGGCUAACUUCGUGCCAGCCGCCGCGGUAAUAC
rnacentral:rRNA from 1 species